CCCUGGCUCAGGACGAACGCGGGCGGCGUGCCUAAUACAUGCAAGUCGAGCGAAUCUUUGGGAGCUUGCUCCCGAAGGUUAGCGGCGGACGGGUGAGUAACACGUGGGCAACCUGCCUAUAAGACUGGGAUAACUUCGGGAAACCGGAGCUAAUACCGGAUAAUCCUUUUCCUCUCAUGAGGGAAAGCUGAAAGACGGUCUCGGCUGUCACUUAUAGAUGGGCCCGCGGCGCAUUAGCUAGUUGGUGAGGUAACGGCUCACCAAGGCGACGAUGCGUAGCCGACCUGAGAGGGUGAUCGGCCACACUGGGACUGAGACACGGCCCAGACUCCUACGGGAGGCAGCAGUAGGGAAUCUUCCGCAAUGGACGAAAGUCUGACGGAGCAACGCCGCGUGAACGAUGAAGGCUUUCGGGUCGUAAAGUUCUGUUGUUAGGGAAGAACAAGUAUCGGAGUAACUGCCGGUACCUUGACGGUACCUAACCAGAAAGCCACGGCUAACU
rnacentral:rRNA from 1 species